CCUACGAGUGGCAGCAGUGAGGAAUAUUGGUCAAUGGACGCAAGUCUGAACCAGCCAUGCCGCGUGCAGGAAGACGGCUCUAUGAGUUGUAAACUGCUUUUGUACGAGGGUAAACGCAGAUACGCGUAUCUGUCUGAAAGUAUCGUACGAAUAAGGAUCGGCUAACUCCGUGCCAGUAGCCGCGGUAAUACGGAGGAUUCAAGCGUUAUCCGGAUUUAUUGGGUUUAAAGGGUGCGUAGGCGGUCGGAUAAGUUAGAGGUGAAAUCCCGAGGCUCAACUUCGGAAUUGCCUCUGAUACUGUUCGGCUAGAGAGUAGUUGCGGUAGGCGGAAUGUAUGGUGUAGCGGUGAAAUGCUUAGAGAUCAUACAGAACACCGAUUGCGAAGGCAGCUUACCAAGCUACUUCUGACGUUGAGGCACGAAAGCGUGGGGAGCAAACAGGAUUAGAUACCCGUGUAGUC
rnacentral:rRNA from 1 species